rnacentral:lncRNA from 1 species
AUUGGAUGUCCAUUCACCUAGUUGAUAUAUUCGAUGAAGAUGAGGUGCCACGGCAAUAAUGCACUUGAGCGUCUUUAUGAAUAACGAGUUCUUGAGACAAGUAAAUAGUACACAUUACAUAAUUUUCUUUAAUAUCCGCAUUCGUGAUAUGGCUUCCUUUUUAAUGAAUUUUGUAAUUAAAUGCCUGAAAAUGAAUGUUUACCUCCUAUUUAAUUGUUUUUUCUUGGCCCCGGGGGAUUUUUUCUAUAGAAUUUUUUGGUCCGUGAAAUUGUUGCUGAGAAAAUAGCAUGGCAAGUCAGGGCUCUAAUGAAGGCUCUAGUUCCGGCAUUACAUCGGCUGAGUGUUCGGAUUCAACUGUUCAACUCAACAUCAAGACNNNNN